GACGAAUGCUGGCGGCGUGCCUAAUACAUGCAAGUUGAGCGAUGAAGAUUGGUGCUUGCACCAAUUUGAAGAGCAGCGAACGGGUGAGUAACGCGUGGGGAAUCUGCCUUUGAGCGGGGGACAACAUUUGGAAACGAAUGCUAAUACCGCAUAACAACUUUAAACAUAAGUUUUAAGUUUGAAAGAUGCAAUUGCAUCACUCAAAGAUGAUCCCGGGUUGUAUUAGCUAGUUGGUGAGGUAAAGGCUCACCAAGGCGAUGAUACAUAGCCGACCUGAGAGGGUGAUCGGCCACAUUGGGACUGAGACACGGCCCAAACUCCUACGGGAGGCAUCAGUAGGGAAUCUUCGGCAAUGGACGAAAGUCUGACCGAGCAACGCCGCGUGAGUGAAGAAGGUUUUCGGAUCGUAUAACUCUGUUGGUAGAGAAGAACGUUGGUGAGAGUGGAAAGCUCAUCAAGUGACGGUAACUACCCAGAAAGGGACGGCUAACUACGUGCCAGCCGCCGCGGUAA
rnacentral:rRNA from 1 species